UGCCUAAACCUCGUAUGAGGCAUGGCAGAAGAAAACCUUGUGAGAAGUAAGCUCGUCAUCAGAGCAUCUCACAAGGUCGUAUGGGGAAACUCAUGCGGGUAGCUCACGCUAUC
rnacentral:sRNA from 1 species